rnacentral:rRNA from 1 species
AUUGAACGCUGGCGGCAGGCCUAACACAUGCAAGUCGAACGGUAACAGGAAACAGCUUGCUGUUUCGCUGACGAGUGGCGGACGGGUGAGUAAUGUCUGGGAAACUGCCUGAUGGAGGGGGAUAACUACUGGAAACGGUAGCUAAUACCGCAUAACGUCGCAAGACCAAAGAGGGGGACCUUCGGGCCUCUUGCCAUCGGAUGUGCCCAGAUGGGAUUAGCUAGUAGGUGGGGUAACGGCUCACCUAGGCGACGAUCCCUAGCUGGUCUGAGAGGAGGACCAGCCACACUGGAACUGAGACACGGUCCAGACUCCGACGGGAGGCAGCGGUGGGGAAUAUUGCACAAUGGGCGCAAGCCUGAUGCAGCCAUGCCGCGUGUAUGAAGAAGGCCUUCGGGUUGUAAAGUACUUUCAGCGGGGAGGAAGGGAGUAAAGUUAAUACCUUUGCUCAUUGACGUUACCCGCAGAAGAAGCACCGGCUAACUCCGUGCCAGCAGCCGCCGUAA